rnacentral:rRNA from 1 species
AAUCAACGCUGGCGGCGUGCCUAACACAUGCAAGUCGAACGCGACUGGGGCUUCGGCCUCAGUUGAGUGGCGAACGGGUGAGUAACACGUGGGUGACCUACCUUCGAAUGGGGGAUAACGUCCCGAAAGGGACGCUAAUACCGCAUAACAUCCUGCCUUUGAACAGGCGGAGAUCAAAGCCGGGGACCGCAAGGCCUGGCGCUAACAGAUGAGCCCAAGUCGGAUUAGCUAGUUGGAGGUAACGGCUACCAAGGCACGAUCCGUAACUGGUCUGAGAGGACGACCAGUCACACCGGAACUGAGACACGGUCCGGACUCCUACGGGAGGCAGCAGUGGGGAAUAUUGGACAAUGGGCGAAAGCCUGAUCCAG